rnacentral:rRNA from 1 species
UCGUUAACGAACGAGACCUCGGCCCUUAAAUAGCCCGGUCCGCGUUUGCGGGCCGCUGGCUUCUUAGGGGGACUAUCGGCUCAAGCCGAUGGAAGUACGUGGCAAUAACAGGUCUGUGAUGCCCUUAGAUGUUCUGGGCCGCACGCGCGCUACACUGACAGGGCCAGCGAGUACAUCACCUUGGCCGAGAGGUCUGGGUAAUCUUUUGAAACUUGAUCGUGCUGGGGAUAGUCCAUUGCAAUUAUUGGACUUCAACGAGGAAUUCCUAGUAAGCGUGAGUCAUCAGCUCGCGUUGAUUACGUCCCUGCCCUUUGUACACACCGCCCGUCGCUAGUACCGAUUGAAUGGGUG